UUCAUUGAACCCCUUCUUCCUAUCCUUGCUACCUAUGAAACGAGUCCCUUCAACGAACAACCCCCAUGAGGCAUCAUUCUCCUUAUCAACAACUGCAUAUCGGGGAAAAAUCUUGCCUGUUAACAAUAUAUUAAUUAUAUUCCUUCAACAAAGUGCUGAUUAUAUAUAUAUAUAUAUAUAUAUAUAUAUAUAUAUAUAUAUAUAUAUAUAUUUUAUUUAAUAAGUACNNNNNNNNNNNNNNNUAUAUAUAUAUAUUUUAUUUAAUAAGUACCUAUGGAUGGUUAAUUGAUAUGCGUAAAUUAUAAAUGACGAUAUAAUUAUUUAUGGCUAUACACAGAACUUUUAUAUAUAUAAGUAUACUGUGAUAUACAAUGAGAUAUUUUGAUAUACAUGAAUAUGUUUCUAAUAUUUAGAAUAAUGAAAUAGUAGAGUAUUUCUAGAACAAACCUCCAGCAUCUUGCGAGCAAGCUGUGAGUAACAUUCCUCUGUACGUUACUUUAAGGAAGCUUCCAUCAACCACAACAAUAGGUUUGCAAAAUUUCCAUCCCUUUAUUGAAUGCAUAUAAG
rnacentral:lncRNA from 1 species